UACGUAGGGGGCUAGCGUUGUCCGGAAUCAUUGGGCGUAAAGCGCGUGUAGGCGGUCCGGUAAGUCCGCUGUGAAAGUCGGGGCUCAACCCUCGAAUGCCGGUGGAUACUGUCGGGCUAGAGUGCGGAAGAGGCGAGUGGAAUUCCUGGUGUAGCGGUGAAAUGCGCAGAUAUCAGGAGGAACACCAAUUGCGAAGGCAGCUCGCUGGGACGUAACUGACGCUGAGACGCGAAAGCGUGGGGAGCAAACAGG
rnacentral:rRNA from 1 species